AAACUCAAAAGUAUCGCACAGCAAAGGAAACCGUAAACAAGACGAAAAGACAACCCUCAAAAUGGGAGAAAAUAUUCUCCCAUUUGAAGCAAUUGACAGAGGAUAAAUCUCCAAAAUAAAUAAGCAGCUCAUGCAGCUCAAUAUCAAAAAAACAAACAACCCAACCCCAAAAUGGGCAGAAGACCUAAAUAGACAUUUCUCCAAAGAAGAUAUACAGAUUGCCAACAAACACAUGAAAAGAUGCUCGACAUCACUAAUCAUUAGAGAAAUGCAAAUCAAAACUACAAUGAGGUAUCACCUCACACCAGUCAGAAUGGCCAUCAUCAAAAAAUCUACAAACAAUAAAUGCUGGAGAGGGUGUGGAGAAAAGGGAACCCUCUUGCACUGUUGGUGGGAAUGUAAAUUGAUACAGCCACUAUGGAGAACAGUAUGGAGGUUCCUUAAAAAACUAAGAAUAGAACUACCAUAUGACCCAGCAAUCCCACUACUGGGCAUAUACCCUGAGAAAACCAUAAUUCAAAAAGAGUCAUGUACCACAAUGUUCAUUGCAGCUCUAUUACAAUAGCCAGGACAUGGAAGCAACCUAAAUGUCCAUCGAGAGGUGAAUGGAUAAAGAAGAUGUGGCACAUAUAUACAAUGGAAUAUUACUCAGCCAUAAAAAGUAACUAAAUUGAGUUAUUUGUAGUGAGGUGGAUGGACCUAGAUUCUGUCAUACAGAGUGAAGUAAGUCAGAAAGAGAAAAACAAAUACCAUAUGCUAACACACGUAUAUGGAAUAAAAAAAAAAGUUCUGAAGAACCUAGGGGCAAGACAGGAAUAAAGACACAGACCUACUAGAGAAUGGACUUGAGGACACAGGGAGGGGGAAGGGUAAGCUGGGACAAAGUGAGAGAGUGGCAUGGACAUACAUACACUACCAAAUGUAAAAUAGAUAGCUAGUGGGAAGCAGCCGCAUAGCACAGGGAGAUCAGCUCGGUGCUUUGUGACCAUCUAGAGGGGUGGGAUAGGGAGGGUGGGAGGGAGGGAGAUGCAAGAGGGAAGAGAUAUGGGGACAUAUGUAUAUGUAUGGCUGAUUCACUUUGUUAUAAAGCAGAAACUAACACACCAUUGUAAAGCAAUUAUACUCCAAUAAAGAUGUUAAAAAAAAAAAA